rnacentral:rRNA from 1 species
UACGGAGGGUGCAAGCGUUAAUCGGAAUUACUGGGCGUAAAGCGUGCGUAGGCGGCUCGUUAAGUCAGAUGUGAAAGCCCUGGGCUCAACCUGGGAACUGCAUUUGAAACUGGCGAGCUAGAGUUUGAGAGAGGUAAGUGGAAUUUCAGGUGUAGCGGUGAAAUGCGUAGAGAUCUGAAGGAACACCAGUGGCGAAGGCGACUUACUGGCUUAAAACUGACGCUGAGGUACGAAAGCGUGGGUAGCAAACAGGAUUAGAUACCCUGGUAGUCCACGCCGUAAACGAUGUCGACUAGCCGUUGGUCCUAUUUACAGGAUUAGUGGCGCAGCUAACGCAUUAAGUCGACCGCCUGGGGAGUACGGCCGCAAGGUUA